rnacentral:misc_RNA from 1 species
UCCUGGUUAACCCAGGCAGUCUCGUUAGAGUUCCCACCAUUACGUGUUGGCAACUAACGAUAAGGGUUGCGCUCGUUGCUGGACUUAACCAAACACCUCACGGCACGAGCUGACGACAGCCAUGCAGCACCUAUGUAAAAGCCCUUGCGGGAGGAGCCAUCUCUGUCUCCGUCCUCUACAUUUCGAGCCCAGGUAAGGUUCUUCGCGUUGCAUCGAAUUAAACCACAUGCUCCACUGCUUGUGCGGGCCCCCGUCAAUUCUUUUGAGUUUCACCCUUGCGAGCGUACUCCCCAGGCGGCAUACUUAAUGCGUUAGCUCCGGUACAGAGGGGGUUGAGCCCUCCUACACCUAGUAUGCAUCGUUUAAGGCAUGGACUAC